GACGAACGCUGGCGGCGUGCUUAACACAUGCAAGUCGAACGGAAAGGCCCUGCUUUUGUGGGGUGCUCGAGUGGCGAACGGGUGAGUAACACGUGAGUAACCUGCCCUUGACUGUGUGAGAACUUCUGGAAACUGGGGCUAAUACCGGAUAGGAGCUCCUGCUGCAUGGGGGGGGUUGGAGAGUUUCGGCGUUUGGGGAUGGUCUCGCUGCUUAUCAGCUUGUUUGGGUGGUAGGGGCUUACCAGGGCUUUGACGGGUAGGCUGCCUGAGAGGGUGACCGGCCACCUUGGGACUACGAUAGGCACCAGAAUCGUACGGGCCGCAGCAGGCGAGAACCUUGCACAGUGGGCGGGAGUCUGAUGCAACGACCUCGCGUGCGGAAUGACGGCCUUCGGGUUGUAAACCGCUUUCGACUGUGCCGAAGAGUGAGUGACGGUAAUGGGUAAAGAAGCCCCGGCUAACUACGUG
rnacentral:rRNA from 1 species